rnacentral:rRNA from 2 species
AAACCAACAGGGAUUGCCCUAGUAACGGCGAGUGAAGCGGCAACAGCUCAAAUUUGAAAUCUGGCCCUCGGGUCCGAGUUGUAAUUUGUAGAGGACGCCUUUGGCGCGGUGCCUUCCGAGUUCCCUGGAACGGGACGCCUUAGAGGGUGAGAGCCCCGUACGGUUGGACACCAAGCCUCUGUAAGGCCCCUUCGACGAGUCGAGUAGUUUGGGAAUGCUGCUCUAAAUGGGAGGUAAAUUUCUUCUAAAGCUAAAUACUGGCCAGAGACCGAUAGCGCACAAGUAGAGUGAUCGAAAGAUGAAAAGCACUUUGAAAAGAGGGUUAAAUAGCACGUGAAAUUGUUGAAAGGGAAGCGUUUGCGACCAGACCUCUCCCCGGCGGGUCACCUGGUGUUCUUCACCGGGGCACUUCGCCGGGGCAGAGGCCAGCAUCGGUUUCCGCAGGGGGAUAAAAGCUCAGGGAACGUAGCUCCUUCGGGAGUGUUAUAGCCCUCUGCACAAUACCCCUGCGGGGACCGAGGACCGCGCCCCCGGGCAAGGAUGCUGGCGUAAUGGUCGCCAACGAC